GUCUAUGGCCAUACCACCCUGAAUGUGCCCUAUCUCAUCUGGUCUUGGAAGCUAAGCAAGGUUGGGUCUGGUUAGUAUUUGGAUGGGAGAACUAGGAAAUAGGACGGUAAAAAGU
ensembl:rRNA 5S_rRNA 5S ribosomal RNA